rnacentral:rRNA from 1 species
AUUGAACGCUGGCGGCAGGCCUAACACAUGCAAGUCGAACGAGUGGCGGACGGGUGAGUAGGGGCGGGGAAACUGCCUGAUGGAGGGGGAUAACUACUGGAAACGGUAGCUAAUACUGCAUACCAUCAGAUGUGCCCAGAUGGGAUUAGCGUGUUGGUGGGGUAACGGCUCACCAAGGCGACGAGCCCUAGCUGGUCUGAGAGGAUGACCAGCCACCCUGGAACUGAGAACCGGUCCAGACUCCACCGGGAGGCAGCAGUGGGGAAUAUUGAACAAUGGGGGCAAGCCGGAUGCAGACAUGCCGCGUGUAUGAAGAAGGCCUUCGGGUUGUAAAGUACGUUCAGCGGGGAGGCGUUACCCACAGAAGAAGCACCGGCUAACUCCGUGCCAGCAGCCGCGGUAAUAC